rnacentral:ncRNA from 1 species
UCUUUCGUGAGGUAGAAUCUGGAGGAAGCUUGUAGACACUAGAUUACACGAACCAAAUUAGAAGCUGGGACAGCCGGACGAGCCUGCCAGACAAGGUAAAGUCCAAAGCCGCCAAGGGCUAUUUCAGUAAGCUUGGGUGGACACAUGAACGGAAAGAUGACAAUU